GAAACACAUGGCUACACUGAGAAACAGAGCGCGGACCAUAAUGCAGCCAGCAGCAUCCCCUCUUUUACACCCCACAGGCUCCAUCUUCUCAAUGUUAUGGAGGAAAAUAAUUUCACAGCCAGUAAACUAGGCUAUUGUGUUCUCCAAGGAAAGAAUUUGUGUGCUAUGCCGCUGCAUAACGGCCAUAGGGGAGUUGCUCUGCGAAACCCUUUCCUUCUCCCUCCCUGCCAGUAGUUGCCUUAGUGACAAAACUAAUCGCUGCUGGUGCCCCUGCUCCUGUGAACAGGAGAAAAACAAAACCAUUUUUAUUGCUGUUCCAGCAAUCCUCUGCAAGUCCAACCUCAAGACGAAAUGUGCUGAUUAAAAGAUACGCUGCAGGUACUGGAGGAACACAAUGAAAAGGCAGAGUGCAGUGAAUUAAUCUUGUCUCUCAGCAGUGCUAUUUGGAGAACUUCUUGAAGCCAGUGGGAAAGAAAAAAUGAAAGUGAAUAAUAGGAAAAAUAAAAAAUAAAAAGUCAGACUUGGAGAUUUCUGCUCUUUCCACUGAACUUCCCUUUGGAUGAGUCAGAGGAAGGUGGGAAAUUAUAAGAAGAUCACCCUGUGAAGAUCUAUGAAAAUCUAGUCAGAUAAUCAACUGAGACUGAAGAAUGAUUCUUCUCACCCUGAAGUGCACAUCUAAAAUAGAUCAGACAGUCAAACCUCAGAAUUGUUGGCUGUUAAGUGAGGUCAGCACGACUAGCUUUGUAGCAGAAGUUCACUACAGAUGUCUAAAGCCAGAUGAGAAGUAUCACCUCAUUAAUUAAUUCAAGCACAGUAUGAAUGUAGUAAAGGACCAGCGCACCAGCAAAGGCAGCUAUACAAAAGCUCUUCUGUGUGUUGAUAGGCAGUAGAGGUGCCAGUGAUAAAUUGGGCUGCACGUGGAACAAGAUUAAAAGUAUUAAGUUGGAGUGCAUUGCCUUGUACGUGAAUUUACUGAGUAGCUUCAAAGGGAAUGUAUGUUCAGUUAUGAUGGUUUGAGGGGAAAAAAAUUUUGUCAUUUUGUAUUGUCACAAAGGAAGACAUUCUACGUAAGUGCUAGAAGAUAAGGGAAAUCAUGGAAAACCUGUUAUAUGAAGGAUUCAGAAAGACUUGGAUUGUUAGCAUGUGGAAGGAGACAAAGAAAUAUAGCAAUAAAAGCUGGGUUCACUGUGGUUGUAUGCUUGUUUUGUCACAGAUGUUCAGGGCACAAACUACCCUAACAAUGGCAUCCCUAAACUUGGUGUCCAGAUCUGAGAUAGUCACCUUGGGCUGCAAUAGAAGGGAAAAUGAUUAUUCUAUACUUACCAUUAGCAAGUGAUAUUCUUCCAUGUCUUGGAAAGCAGGGUCUCAAUGGACAUAGCAGCCAUUUGGGAGGACAGACAAGUUGAAAAGUGGUACAGGGGGUCUGCUUCUCCUCUCACUGUAGAAAUGAGCUAUGGACCUCACUGUUGCAUCAAUUGACUGACACUGCUCCAAGAUGAGUAAGAUUCAAAGAGAAACAGUGAUUACAUGGCUGAAAAGAAUAUCCAGAUAUAGCACAAAAGAUAAAAUUACACAGGAAGGCUAUAAAAUCUUCAGAUUUGAAAAGAUCAAGAUAUCCUUUAUUUUUUGUUGCUCAGAAGAGAUAAUCUGGGUUACAGACUGUAACGUCUGCUUAUUACAAACCAUUUUACACUUUUCUCCAGUCAAUGUUCUUUCUCAGGAAAGAAGUCCCUAGGCUAUUUCUCUGAUCCUAUAUGGACAUUUUUAUGUUGCUAGAGAAGAUGGAAGUCUCCAUUUGUGUUUAACAUGGGAUUUCCUCUUCUAGAUGGAAAUCAUCCAGUCUCAUUGAUUAAGUGCAAUUUCCACACACUUCAGUACAGCUCUGCAGGAUUUAAUGACUGCACCCAGCUGAGCAAUAUUCUCUGGAUUUGAUUCACUAUACAUAUUAAUUUUAGAGCCUGUCUCAAAUAACCUUCAUUGAUUUCUUCAUCAUAUAUACAAGUCUAACCUUGUUUGACUGGUUGCUUGAAAUGCAGUGCCAUUAUUCAGUGGAACAGGAAUUAAGACAGGCUGAUGUGGCUGAACAGAAUUAACGGUUUAAAAAAGUUGUCUGUCUGUGCUGAUGCAUUUGAGAAGAAAAGUGAUGGGGAUUCUGAGCACAGCAAGACCUGCAAGGUGCUUUGUAAAGCAAGUUACUUUCAGGAGAAAAAAAAAAAACAAAAACUGUAUGAAUGGUACAUUAGGCAUGAUCUGAUAAUAACCCCAAAAAUGUCUAAAAUGGAUACAAAUUGCAAAUCCACAGCUGUGACAAUGCAACUAUGGAUUUCUGGCCUCAUAGAUUUAGAGGAGCAAUAAAUGCCAUUGCCAAACUAGUUAAAAGCAACGGCUGAAAGUGUGUAAGUUAGACUAGCUGGAAAGUAAAUGUUUGGAAAAUGCUUUGAGAUUUCAUGUCAUUUCCUUGGGAUAGAACACUCUGAGGCAUCAGUAACUUCAUUUUCCAUUGUGGUGAACUUCAGAGCAAAAGAUUUAAAGACAAUCUCUAUAUGCUUUCUCCCAGAAAACUAUAAGCUUAAUGACUCGUUUUAUUAAAAGCUGAAUUCCAGGAAGUCUAAGUAGUCAUGGUGUGUUUUUUAUUUGUAAUGCUUUCAUCCGUAAGCACUGUUAUUUUUGUCCUUAUCCUGUACCUCUUAGCAAGCUUGCUUUUCUUGUUAUGAG
ensembl:lncRNA